rnacentral:rRNA from 1 species
GACGAACGCUGGCGGCGUGCUUAACACAUGCAAGUCGAGCGGUAAGGCUCCUUCGGGGGUACACGAGCGGCGAACGGGUGAGUAACACGUGAGUAAUCUGCCCCUCACUUCGGGAUAAGCCUCGGAAACGAGGUCUAAUACCGGAUACGACCACUUCUCGCAUGGGAUGGUGGUGGAAAGCUUUUCGGUGGGGGAUGUGCUCGCGGCCUAUCAGCUUGUUGGUGGGGUAAUGGCCUACCAAGGCUUCGACGGGUAGCCGGCCUGAGAGGGUGACCGGCCACACUGGGACUGAGACACGGACCAGACUCCUACGGGAGGCAGCAGUGGGGAAUAUUGGACAAUGGGCGAAAGCCUGAUUCAGCAACGCCGCGUGAGGGAUGACGGCCUUCGGGUUGUAAACCUCUUUCAGCGGGGACGAAGCGCAAGUGACGGUACCCGCAGAAGAAGCACCGGCCAACUACGUGCCAGCAGCCGCUGUAACAC